rnacentral:misc_RNA from 1 species
CGAGCUUCUUGAAAUUUCUAAAAGAAAACUCCUAGGUGAUGAAUUGGAACCAUGUUCCAUUGAUGAGCUACAGCAGUUAGAGAAUCAGCUGGAGCGAAGCUUAACCAGAAUCAGGACAAGAAAGAAUCAGCUGUUCAGGGAACAGAUCGAGAAGCUAAAGGAAGAGGAGAAAAUCCUGAUAGAAGAAAAUACAAGGUUGCGGGCCAAGUGUGGGUUGCAACCAUUGGACUUAUCAACAACACAAGAGAAGCAACAAAUAGCAGACGGAGAAAGCAUGGAGGUGGAGACAGAAUUAUUUAUAGGUCCACGUCCACCGGAGACACGAACUACCCAAAAACUAUAG